AACGAACGCUGGCGGCAUGCCUAACACAUGCAAGUCGAACGAGACCUUCGGGUCUAGUGGCGCACGGGUGCGUAACGCGUGGGAACCUGCCCUUAGGUUCGGAAUAACUCCCCGAAAGGGGUGCUAAUACCGGAUAAUCUCUUCGGACCAAAGAUUUAUCGCCUUUGGAUGGGCCCGCGUUGGAUUAGCUAGUUGGUAGGGUAAAAGCCUACCAAGGCGACGAUCCAUAGCUGGUCUGAGAGGAUGAUCAGCCACACUGGGAAUGAGACACGGCCCAGACUCCUACGGGAGGCAGCAGUGGGGAAUAUUGGACAAGGGGCGAAAGCCUGAUACAGCAAUGCCGCGUGAGUGAUGAAGGCCUUAGGGUUGUAAAGCUCUUUUACCCGGGAUGAUAAUGACAGUACCGGGAGAAUAAGCACCGGCUAACUCCGUG
rnacentral:rRNA from 1 species